GACGAACCGAGCGAACGUUGUUCGGAAUCACUGGGCUUAAAGGGUGUGUAGGUGGCGCGCUAAGUCGGGUGUGAAAUUUCGGAGCUUAACUCCGAAACUGCAUUCGAUACUGGCGUGCUUGAGGACUGGAGAGGAGACUGGAAUUCAUGGUGUAGCAGUGAAAUGCGUAGAUAUCGGGAGGAACACCAGUGGCGAAGGCGACUUCCUGGCCUGUUCUUGACGCUGAGGCGCGAAAGCUAGGGGAGCAAACGGG
rnacentral:rRNA from 1 species